rnacentral:rRNA from 1 species
CAAGAGUUUGAUCAUGGCUCAGGACGAACGCUGGCGGCGUGCUUAACACAUGCAAGUCGAACGAGAGGACAUGGGAAGCUUGCUUCCUAUGAAAUCGAGUGGCAAACGGGUGAGUAACGCGUAAACAACCUGCCCUUCGGAUGGGGAUAACAGCCGGAAACGGCUGCUAAUACCGAAUACGAUCUUUUCGUCGCAUGACGGAAAGAAGAAAGGAUGGCCUCUAUACAAAGCUAUCGCCGAAGGAGGGGUUUGCGUCUGAUUAGCUGGUUGGAGGGGUAACGGCCCAACAAGGCGAUGAUCAGUAGCCGGUCUGAGAGGAUGAACGGCCACAUUGGGACUGAGACACGGCCCAGACUCCUACGGGAGGCAGCA